rnacentral:rRNA from 1 species
UACGUAGGGUCCGAGCGUUGUCCGGAAUUAUUGGGCGUAAAGAGCUCGUAGGCGGCUUGUCGCGUCGGAUGUGAAAGCCCGGGGCUUAACUCCGGGUCUGCAUUCGAUACGGGCAGGCUAGAGUUCGGUAGGGGAGAUCGGAAUUCCUGGUGUAGCGGUGAAAUGCGCAGAUAUCAGGAGGAACACCGGUGGCGAAGGCGGAUCUCUGGGCCGAUACUGACGCUGAGGAGCGAAAGCGUGGGGAGCGAACAGG